rnacentral:rRNA from 1 species
GAUGAACGCUGGCGGCGUGCUUAACACAUGCAAGUCGAACGGAAAGGCCCAAGCUUGCUUGGGUACUCGAGUGGCGAACGGGUGAGUAACACGUGGGUGAUCUGCCCUGCACUUCGGGAUAAGCCUGGGAAACUGGGUCUAAUACCGGAUAGGACGAUGGUUUGGAUGCCAUUGUGGAAAGGUUUUUCGGUGUGGGAUGAGCUCGCGGCCCAUCAGCUUGUUGGUGGGGUAAUGGCCUACCAAGGCGUCGACGGGUAGCCGGCCUGAGAGGGUGUACGGCCACAUUGGGACUGAGAUACGGCCCAGACUCCUACGGGAGGCAGCAGUGGGGAAUAUUGCACAAUGGGCGCAAGCCUGAUGCAGCGACGCCGCGUGGGGGAUGACGGCCUUCGGGUUGUAAACUCCUUUCGCUAGGGACGAAGCGUUUUUGUGACGGUACCUGGAGAAGAAGCACCGGCUAACUACGUG